GAUGAACGCUGGCGGCGUGCCUAAUACAUGCAAGUCGAGCGAACGGACGAGAAGCUUGCUUCUCUGAUGUUAGCGGCGGACGGGUGAGUAACACGUGGAUAACCUACCUAUAAGACUGGGAUAACUUCGGGAAACCGGAGCUAAUACCGGAUGAUAUUUUGAACCGCAUGGUUCAAAAGUGAAAGACGGUCUUGCUGUCACUUAUAGAUGGAUCCGCGCUGCAUUAGCUAGUUGGUAAGGUAACGGCUUACCAAGGCAACGAUGCAUAGCCGACCUGAGAGGGUGAUCGGCCACACUGGAACUGAGACACGGUCCAGACUCCUACGGGAGGCAGCAGUAGGGAAUCUUCCGCAAUGGGCAAAAGCCUGACGGAGCAACGCCGCGUGAGUGAUGAAGGUCUUCGGAUCGUAAAACUCUGUUAUUAGGGAAGAACAUAUGUGUAAGUAACUGUGCACAUCUUGACGGUACCUAAUCAGAAAGCCACGGCUAACUACGUGCCAGCAGCCGCGGUAAUACGUAGGUGGCAAGCGUUAUCCGGAAUUAUUGGGCGUAAAGCGCGCGUAGGCGGUUUUUUUAAGUCUGAUGUGAAAGCCCACGGCUCAACCGUGGAGGGUCAUUGGAAACUGGAAAACUUGAGUGCAGAAGAGGAAAGUGGAAUUCCAUGUGUAGCGGUGAAAUGCGCAGAGAUAUGGAGGAACACCAGUGGCGAAGGCGACUUUCUGGUCUGUAACUGACGCUGAUGUGCGAAAGCGUGGGGAUCAAACAGGAUUAGAUACCCUGGUAGUCCACGCCGUAAACGAUGAGUGCUAAGUGUUAGGGGGUUUCCGCCCCUUAGUGCUGCAGCUAACGCAUUAAGCACUCCGCCUGGGGAGUACGACCGCAAGGUUGAAACUCAAAGGAAUUGACGGGGACCCGCACAAGCGGUGGAGCAUGUGGUUUAAUUCGAAGCAACGCGAAGAACCUUACCAAAUCUUGACAUCCUUUGACAACUCUAGAGAUAGAGCCUUCCCCUUCGGGGGACAAAGUGACAGGUGGUGCAUGGUUGUCGUCAGCUCGUGUCGUGAGAUGUUGGGUUAAGUCCCGCAACGAGCGCAACCCUUAAGCUUAGUUGCCAUCAUUAAGUUGGGCACUCUAAGUUGACUGCCGGUGACAAACCGGAGGAAGGUGGGGAUGACGUCAAAUCAUCAUGCCCCUUAUGAUUUGGGCUACACACGUGCUACAAUGGACAAUACAAAGGGCAGCGAAACCGCGAGGUCAAGCAAAUCCCAUAAAGUUGUUCUCAGUUCGGAUUGUAGUCUGCAACUCGACUACAUGAAGCUGGAAUCGCUAGUAAUCGUAGAUCAGCAUGCUACGGUGAAUACGUUCCCGGGUCU
rnacentral:rRNA from 1 species